UGACAUCAUGAUCCAGGAAGUGACAUCAGACAUGGAGGGAAAUCAACACAAACUUCAGCAUCUGUAACUCUGUCUCUCCGGGGCUUUAUGUGUUGUCAGGCAAUCAAGCGUUUAUUCGGGUCACUCAAUCUGCAGAGUUGGAGAAUCACAACAUGGGGUGCAAGAAACUUCAAGGGCGAAAAAAGGAGAAACACGAGAAAGACGCGAGGACCAUGGAG